AGAGUUUGAUCCUGGCUCAGAUUAAACGCUGGCGGCAUGCCUUACACAUGCAAGUCGAACGGUAGCGCGGGGCAACCUGGCGACGAGUGGCGAACGGGUGAGUAAAGCAUCGGAACGUGCCCUGGAAUGGGGGAUAACGUAGCGAAAGUUACGCUAAUACCGCAUAUUCUGUGAGCAGGAAAGCAGGGGAUCGCAAGACCUUGCGUUCUGGGAGCGGCCGAUGUCGGAUUAGCUAGUUGGUGGGGUAAAAGCCUACCAAGGCGACGAUCCGUAGCGGGUCUGAGAGGAUGAUCCGCCACACUGGGACUGAGACACGGCCCAGACUCCUACGGGAGGCAGCAGUGGGGAAUUUUGGACAAUGGGCGGAAGCCUGAUCCAGCCAUGCCGCGUGAGUGAAGAAGGCCUUCGGGUUGUAAAGCUCUUUCGGUGGGGAAGAAAUUGCACGGGUUAAUACCCUGUGUAGAUGACGGUACCCGACUAAGAAGCACCGGCUAACUACGUG
rnacentral:rRNA from 1 species